rnacentral:rRNA from 1 species
AUUGAACGCUGGCGGCAGGCCUAACACAUGCAAGUCGAGCGGAUGAGUGGAGCUUGCUCCAUGAUUCAGCGGCGGACGGGUGAGUAAUGCCUAGGAAUCUGCCUGGUAGUGGGGGACAACGUUUCGAAAGGAACGCUAAUACCGCAUACGUUCUACGGGAGAAAGCAGGGGACCUUCGGGCCUUGCGCUAUCAGAUGAGCCUAGGUCGGAUUAGCUAGUAGGUGAGGUAAUGGCUCACCUAGGCGACGAUCCGUAACUGGUCUGAGAGGAUGAUCAGUCACACUGGAACUGAGACACGGUCCAGACUCCUACGGGAGGCAGCAGUGGGGAAUAUUGGACAAUGGGCGAAAGCCUGAUCUAGCCAUGCCGCGUGUGUGAAGAAGGUCUUCGGAUUGUAAAGCACUUUAAGUUGGGAGGAAGGGCAGUAAGUUAAUACCUUGCUGUUUUGACGUUACCAACAGAAUAAGCACCGGCUAACUUCGUGCCGGCCGCCGCAGUAAGAC